UUUCAUUGUCGUAGUGAACUUUCGAGGUUUGCUCAAAGCGAAUUUUUCUCUCCAACAACACGUUCGACGCUUUAUUAUUUUCAGGCAUUGCACAUGCAAUAACAUCACGUCAGCCGACAAAACAAUAAACUGGCCCACCGGCAGAGUGCAGUAUUUGAAAAUAUGACAGGUGCACCAACCCAGCUGACUAUAAACAUGGCGGCAUCUAAAGACAGAGUGGGGAGUAACAGGUGUAAAAUACUAAUAAUCGGUGCAGGUAUGGCGGGAUUGUCAGCGGCACAUCAUUUAGUAAAAAAUGGCGUAACUGACUUCAAGAUACUGGAAGCUAGGAGAAGAAUCGGUGGCAGAAUUGUUUCUAUUCCAACCGACCAUCAUAGGGUGGAAUUAGGGGCCAACUGGAUCCAUGGAGUACUUGGGAAUCCCAUGUACGAACUAGCCAUGACAAAUGGUCUCAUAGACAUAGUCCAUGUCCCUAAACCGCACAGAGUUGUAGCUGCUACAGAAGAUGGUAAACUUAUACCAUUCCAGUUACUACAGGAGAUUUAUGAAGCCUACGUAUGUUUUCUUCGACGUUGUGAGGAAUAUUUCCUCUGCCACUAUUUGCCUCCAGCUGGUGUUCACAGUGUAGGAGAACACAUUAAUCUAGAAGCUGCAUUGUACUUAGACCACUGUCGAAAUCCAGAAGAACGUCAGAUACGUCAGUUAAUAUUUGAUUGUUUGUUAAAACGCGAAACUUGUAUUACUGGUUGUCAUUCCAUGGAUGAAAUAGAUCUGUUAGAAUUGGGCAGCUACACUGAACUUCAAGGAGGAAACAUUGUGCUACCUUCUGGUUACAGCAGCAUCCUGGAACCCAUAGCAAAAGUCAUACCACCCCAAAAUAUUGUUACAGGUAAACCUGUGGCAACAGUGAGAUGGAAUUGCAGUAACGAAAUGCAGUUAUCUAAUAUGACAAGCCCUGGAGGUGACUCGGGUAUUGACAUUCUUGCAAAUGGAGAUCCAGGAAAUGAUUCUGAUGACUCUGAUAGGACUGUCACUGGUGAUUUCCCAAAAUUUGUAGAACAUUCAAGCAGGGAAGGAAGUUGUGAAGCAGCAGAUAAAAAAAGUAGCACAAAAUCUCAGUGCAGUGCUGAGAGUGGUGAAAGUUCUGGCACAGGUGUUCAACAGUCAACCGUGAAUUCUGCUUCAGGACAGUGUAGUCAACAGGAUGACAGUGAAAAUUCAGAUUCUUGUGUUUUACCUCCAAGUGUAGAAAUUGUGUGUGAUGAUGGUGACACUUAUUAUGCUGAUCAUGUUAUAUGCACAGUACCACUUGGAGUUUUGAAAGAAAGGGCAUCUACAAUGUUCUGCCCUCCAUUGCCUCAAUAUAAGACUGAAUCAAUCAACAGGCUUCUUUUUGGAACAGUUGACAAAAUAUUUCUGGAAUAUGAUCGCCCAUUUCUCAACCCAGACAUAUCAGAACUUAUGCUUCUUUGGAAAAGUGAUGCAGCAGAGAAUGGAAAUGAAGACUCAUCUGAUUUAAGUAAAUGCUGGUUUCGUAAAAUUUACUCAUUUUCCAAAGUAUCAGAGACACUUUUACUAGGAUGGAUAUCAGGUAAAGAAGCAGAGUAUAUGGAAACAUUAGCACACGAGGAAGUUGCAGAAAAGUGCACGGAGAUACUGAGAAAGUUUCUUAAUGAUCCAUUUGUACCUAAACCAAAGCUCUGUGUAUGUACCAGUUGGCGUUCUCAGCCUUACACGAGAGGUUCCUACACUGCAAUGGCUGUCGGUGCUAGUCAGGUUGACAUUGAGAACAUAGCACGAUCACUUUAUGCCAGCUCACAGGAAAAGAAGCCUGUACUUCUCUUUGCUGGAGAGCAUACACACAGCAGUUUCUAUUCAACGGUUCAUGGUGCAUACCUGACUGGUCGGAGUGCAGCCCAAGUGCUACUUGAUCCUGACUCUCCUGAACAAUUAAUAAUGCAGUGUGAAGGAACAAGUGAUUUAAGUUCCUGGAUUCAGGGUAUCUCUCUAGAUUGAUGUAUUGAGUGAAACUGAUAUACAGCCUGUAGAUUGAAUGUAUUAAGUGAAAUUGAUAUACGGCUAAGCGUCACAUCGGAUAAUGUUGUGGAAGCAGCAAAAUAUUUCAACAAGACAGCUGCUCAUCAUCUUCAGGCAUUUUCAAACAUUCUGCUGUAAUGGCUCACC